rnacentral:rRNA from 1 species
CCUACGGGAGGCAGCAGUGAGGAAUAUUGGUCAAUGGCCGGGAGGCUGAACCAGCCAAGUCGCGUGAGGGAAGACGGCCCUACGGGUUGUAAACCUCUUUUGUCAGGGAGCAAGGUGCAGGUCGGGACCUGCUGUGAGAGUACCUGAAGAAAAAGCAUCGGCUAACUCCGUGCCAGCAGCCGCGGUAAUACGGAGGAUGCGAGCGUUAUCCGGAUUUAUUGGGUUUAAAGGGUGCGCAGGCGGAGGCACAAGUCAGCGGUAAAAUCGCGGGGCUCAACCCCGCUCCGCCGUUGAAACUGUGUGCCUUGAGUGCGCUAAGGGUAGGCGGAAUGCGUGGUGUAGCGGUGAAAUGCAUAGAUAUCACGCAGAACUCCGAUCGCGAAGGCAGCCUACCGGCGCGCAACUGACGCUCAUGCACGAAAGCGUGGGUAUCGAACAGGAUUAGAUACCCGGGUAGUC